AGUUUGUGAGAUAGUGUAGCAGCAGCUUUUCAGGGACUGUGGAAAAUCACAACACACAUCUGGCACCAGGCUUCACCCUUAAGGACCUUGUUCCAGCACCAGCGAAUGUGGCCGCCUUCUGGGGUCUGCUGGGACCAGGUGGCUUCAACAGUCUCUACCAAAUGUCCUUCCAGCAGUGGAACUGCUUUUCCCUGCGUGGCCCGAGAACCUCCUGGACCCCACUCUGUUCCUGGGGAUUCGCCCUUCCCACCAGAGCACCUCCAGCUCCUGGUAAACACCACUGCAGUCUUUGAUUCCAUGGAUUUAACUACUUGAGAUACCUCAGGUAAGUAGAACCAUGCACUAUUUGUUUUUCUGUAACUGGUUUAUUUCACUCGGCACAGUGUUCUCAAGGUUCAUCCAUGUUGUCCCAUAUUGCAUAUUUUCCAUCUUUUUAAGCCCAAGUGGUAUUUCACUGUGCGUGCAUACCACAUUUUCUUUACUCAUUCAUCCAUCAGUGGACCGUAAGGUUGUUUUCACUUCUUGGCUAUUGUGAGUAGUGUGGCAGUGAACGUAAGGGUGCUAAUAUGCCUUUGAGAUCCUGAUUUCAAUUCUUUUGGAUAAAUACUCAGCAGUGGAACUGGUGGAUCAUAUGGUGGUUAAGAGGUUAAUAUUCAAAAUAUAUAAGGAACGCCUAUAGCUCAGUUAGCAUAAUGCCCCUAAUAAUCUGAUUAAAAAUAGGCUGAGGGCUUGAACAGAUAUUUUGCCAAGGAAGACGUAAGUUGGCCAACAAAUACAUUU